rnacentral:tRNA from 1 species
AGCAGUGUGGCCUAGUGGGGAAGAGCACGGGUCCGGGAGCCAGAGGACCUGGGUUCUAAUCCCAGCUCUGCCA